CCUACGGGUGGCUGCAGUCGAGAAUCAUUCACAAUGGGGGAAACCCUGAUGGUGCGACGCCGCGUGGGGGAAUGAAGGUCUUCGGAUUGUAAACCCCUGUCAUGUGGGAGCAAAUUAAAAAGAUAGUACCACAAGAGGAAGAGCCGGCUAACUAUGUGCCAGCAGCCGCGGUAAUACAGAGGUCUCAAGCGUUGUUCGGAAUCACUGGGCGUAAAGCGUGCGUAGGCUGUUUCGUAAGUCGUGUGUGAAAGGCGCGGGCUCAACCCGCGGACGGCACAUGAUACUGCGAGACUAGAGUAAGGGAGGGGGAACCGGAAUGCUUGGUGUAGCAGUGAAAUGCGUAGAUAUCGAGAGGAACACUCGUGGCGAAGGCGGGUUCCUGGACAGUAACUGACGCUGAGGCACGAAGGCCAGGGGAGCGAAAGGGAUUAGAUACCCGGGUAGUC
rnacentral:rRNA from 1 species